rnacentral:rRNA from 1 species
GUGGGUAGGGGUGAAAGGCCAAUCAAACUCCGUGAUAGCUGGUUCUCCCCGAAAUGCAUUUAGGUGCAGCGUUGCGUGGUCCCUGGUGGAGGUAGAGCUACUGGAUGGCCGAUGGGCCCUGUGGGUUACUGACGUCAGCCAAACUCCGAAUGCCAUCAGGGUCGAGCGCGGCAGUGAGACCGCGGGGGAUAAGCUCCGUGGUCGAGAGGGAAACAGCCCGGACCGCCGGCUAAGGCCCCUAAGCGUGCGCUAAGUGGGAAAGGAUGUGGAGUCGCGGUGACAACCAGGAGGUUGGCUUAGAAGCAGCCAUCCUUGAAAGAGUGCGUAAUAGCUCACUGGUCAAGUGGUUCUGCGCCGACAAUGUAGCGGGGCUCAAGCGCACCGCCGAAGCCGUGGCAGCAGCGCUUUUCGCCCUCCUCCCCCCUGUUGGAUGGGGUGGUGGGUGCGCUGCUGGGUAGGGGAGCGUCCUGCGCGGGGCGAAGCCCGGGGGUGACCCCUGGUGGACCGCGUGGGAGUGAGAAUGCAGGCAUGAGUAACGAAUUCUGCGGUGGGAAUCCGCAGCGCCGAUUGACUAAGGGUUCCAGGGCCAGGUUCAUCCGCCCUGGGUUAGUCGGGUCCUAAGGCGAGGCCGACAGGCGUAGUCGAUGGUCGACCAGUUGAUAUUCUGGUACCGCGCGGCGACCGCCAGUGCCGAUACCGCUGUGCUAACCGCCCGCACCGCCCCCUCCUGCGCUUUCGGGCGCGGGGGCGGGGGGUGUCGCGGGGCCCCGGUGGUGGAGGCAAGCGUGUUGACAGGGGUGACGCAGGAAGGUAGCCGCAAUGCGCCGGUGGUUGUGCGUAUUCAAGGCUGUGGCCCGUCCCCCAGGCAAAUCCGGGGGGCAUGUGGGUGAGGGCUGAGGAGGGACACACGCGUGUGUGGACUUGUGGUGAUCCUAUGCUGCCGAGAAAAACCCCGACGUGAGGGCGCCGCGCGCCCGUACCCCAAACCGACUCAGGUGGUCAGGUAGAGCAUACCGAGGCGUUCGAGUGAAUCAUGGUUAAGGAACUCGGCAAAAUUCCUCCGUAACUUCGGGAUAAGGAGGACCCCUUGGCCUCCUCCCGCCGCGCGCGGGGGCGGGGCCGGGGGGUCGCAGAGAAUAGGGAGAAGCGACUGUUUAUCAAAAACACAGGUGCGUGCGAAGCCGCAAGGCGAUGUAUACGCACUGACGCCUGCCCGGUGCUGGAAGGUCAAGAGGAGCCCUCAGCCCCCUGCGGGGGGCGAAGGGGCGAAUUCAAGCCCCAGUAAACGGCGGUGGUAACUAUAACCAUCCUAAGGUAGCGAAAUUCCUUGUCGGGUAAGUUCCGACCUGCACGAAUGGCGUAACGACUUCUCCGCUGUCUCAACCGUGAACUCGGUGAAAUUGCAGUACGAGUAAAGAUGCUCGUUUCGCGCAGAAGGACGGAAAGACCCCGGGACCUUUACUACAGCUUGGUAUUGGCGCCCGCUAUAGCUUGUGCAGGAUAGGUGGGAGACGUUGAAGCCGUUACGCCAGUAGCGGUGGAGUCGUCCUUGAAAUACCACUCUGGUUAUGGCGUGCGCCUGAACCUGGGCCCGUGAUCCGGGUCAGGGACAGUGCCUGGUGGGUAGUUUAACUGGGGCGGUUGCCUCCUAAAAGGUAACGGAGGCGCUCAAAGGUCCCCUCAGCCUGGUUGGCAAUCAGGUGGCGAGUGCAAGUGCACAAGGGGGCUUGACUGUGAGACCGACGGGUCGAGCAGGUGCGAAAGCAGGAACUAGUGAUCCGGCCAUGGCACGUGGGUGCGUGGUCGCUCAACGGAUAAAAGGUACCCCGGGGAUAACAGGCUGAUCUUGCCCAAGAGUCCAUAUCGACGGCAUGGUUUGGCACCUCGAUGUCGGCUCGUCGCAUCCUGGGGCUGGAGUAGGUCCCAAGGGUUGGGCUGUUCGCCCAUUAAAGCGGUACGCGAGCUGGGUUCAGAACGUCGUGAGACAGUUCGGUCCCUAUCCUCUGCGCGCGCAGGAAACUUGAUGGAGGGCCGUCCCCAGUACGAGAGGACCGGGAUGGACGAACCUCUGGUGUGCCAGUUGUACCGCCAGGUGCACGGCUGGUUGGCCACGUUCGGAAAGGAUAACCGCUGAAAGCAUCUAAGCGGGAAGCCCGCUCCGAGAUGAGGUUUCCACGCCCCAACAAGGGGUGAGAGGCCCCCGCCAGAACAGCGGGUCGAUAGGCCAGAGGUGGAAGCGCCGCGAGGCGCUCGCGAGCCGACUGGUACUAAUGGGCCGACACCACACCA